rnacentral:lncRNA from 1 species
CCCUUCUCCUGUGCUUCGCUUAGAUCUUUAGGAUGUCCCCAGCAAAGCAGAUAGAUGCAGCCACACUGGGACAGACAAGCUGGGUGGCCUGAAACUCAGCCAUUAGGCUCUGGUGGGGGUAGAUGGAAGGCAGGCUUUUUCCCACCUACAAUCUGAGGAUCUGCUCUGCAGGCUGCUCAAGGAAGUGAACAGGGAACAGGCUUGUGGGGCUGACUGGGUUUGAGCUGUCAAGGCCUGGGUGGCUGGGGUUAGCCUGGGAAGGACCUUGUAUCUGCAGCUCUUCAGCGACUGUUUCCUGUUCUGUGGGUCGGUGCCAAGGCUCUGGAUGUGGGGAGCAUUCUGAUGACUCUGUAAUGAAGCUCCAGGAUCCAAUGGAGAGAAGAAAGGAUGGUCAGAAGGCAAUGAGACAAUCCCCCUCUCCCAUCCAGACACCUGCUGUCUCUAGCUGUAUCUUUGGGUUCAAGCCCCGGGGACAGCACUAAUGAGCAACAUCAGUCCAGUUGUCCUCCAGACUGGGAGGAUACAACAGCUCAAUUGCCUGCACUCCCAGACUGAGGUGCAUUCUGUGGAAGCAGGUGACUGACGACAGAGCCAGAGAGUGGUCCUUCAGAAAGGAGGAUGAACUGUGACCAGUCCUGGAAUACAUCCUCAUUGUCACUGAAGAGCAAUAAGGAAAUCCACUCUAUAUGGGAAACUUAGGAUCGUGGAAGGCCAUGAAUACCUUAUUGACUACAGAUACCGCUCUCUUUGUGAGAAAUGAAGAUGGUAGUUUGAACAAAACCCAAUGAAAAUAGGAGUUGACUAAAAAAAAAAUUUUUUUUUUUGGAAGUGCCA